rnacentral:rRNA from 1 species
GAGUUUGAUCGUGGCUCAGAUUGAACGCUGGCGGCAGGCCUAACACAUGCAAGUCGAGCGGUAGAGAGAAGCUUGCUUCUCUUGAGAGCGGCGGACGGGUGAGUAAUGCCUAGGAAUCUGCCUGGUAGUGGGGGAUAACGCUCGGAAACGGACGCUAAUACCGCAUACGUCCUACGGGAGAAAGCAGGGGACCUUCGGGCCUUGCGCUAUCAGAUGAGCCUAGGUCGGAUUAGCUAGUUGGUGAGGUAAUGGCUCACCAAGGCGACGAUCCGUAACUGGUCUGAGAGGAUGAUCAGUCACACUGGAACUGAGACACGGUCCAGACUCCUACGGGAGGCAGCAGUGGGGAAUAUUGGACAAUGGGCGAAAGCCUGAUCCAGCCAUGCCGCGUGUGUGAAGAAGGUCUUCGGAUUGUAAAGCACUUUAAGUUGGGAGGAAGGGCAGUAAAUUAAUACUUUGCUGUUUGACGUUACCGUACAGAAUAAGCACCGGCUAACUCUGUGCCAGCCGCCG